AAUUAAAAUGUAAAUGAAAAAUUACUUGGUUAAGUGAAUUAAUAAAACGGUAGUCUUACUGGAUAUCCUGAGAGAUAGUGGACGGACCGGGUAACUAGGGAACCCUACUGUGAACGUUGUCUCAUACCGGAUGAGGUAUCGAGGAAUGGUAUUUUUAGCACUCAUACUGGACGAGGUAUGGGGACGGUCCGAUUCACCCUCAUAGCAAACGGGGUAUUGAGGGAUAGUAUUUUUGGCGCU
rnacentral:lncRNA from 1 species